UACGUAGGGCGCAAGCGUUAUCCGGAAUUAUUGGGCGUAAAGAGCUCGUAGGCGGUUUGUCGCGUCUGCCGUGAAAGUCCGGGGCUCAACUCCGGAUCUGCGGUGGGUACGGGCAGACUAGAGUGCGGUAGGGGUGACUGGAAUUCCUGGUGUAGCGGUGGAAUGCGCAGAUAUCAGGAGGAACACCGAUGGCGAAGGCAGGUCUCUGGGCAUUAACUGACGCUGAGGAGCGAAAGCAUGGGGAGCGAACAGG
rnacentral:rRNA from 1 species